CGAGGAAGGGCGUAGAAAGCGACGAAAUGCUUCGGGGAGUUGAAAAUAAGCAUAGAUCCGAGGAUUCCCGAAUAGGUCAACCUUUCGAACUGCUGCUGAAUUCACAGGCAGGCAAGAG
rnacentral:ncRNA from 1 species